AAAGACAACAAAAUACACAAACCCACCUGUUGGGUUCAUUUGCAAGUGAAGUGACUGCUUCCUUUCACCGGCCUGUGGCCUGUGCGGGGCCUGCUGCUCACAUUCUAGCCUCUGCAAAGUUGCCUGGACUACAUUUUCAUGGUGGCCCUUUUCUGUACAUCUGGAAUGGUUGAAACUAAAAACUUUAAGUCGAUCACUACCAAAGUUCUUCUGUAUAUUCUUCCUUUCAUCUGUCAAUUUUCUUUGAAAAAACUUAGAGUGGUGCCUGGGUGGCUCAGUCGGUUAAGUGUCUGACUUGGGCCCAGGUCCUGAUCUCACAGUUCUGUGAGUAGAGCCUGGUGCCUGCUUGGGAUUCUGUGUCUCCCUCUCUCGCUGCCCCUCCCCUGCUCGUGCUGUCUCUCUCUCAAAACUAAAUAAACGUUAUAAAAAAUUUAAAAAAAAAUUUAGAGCAAUUUGUUUGUAAAUUAAUACUAACGUCACCAAUAAUUAGAUUGUAGGGAUGUUAGGAUUCUAACCAUAUUAGAUAAAGUUCUUAAAAGAGGUGUAGAGAAAUUAAACAGCAUGUAUUUCUAUAUCUGACUUUCUUGUUGGUUUUCUGGUAGGAUUUCCUUUUAGAACCAAAUGAAGAUAACAUUUUAGAUGUUACCUUUGUUCAAGGUGUGCUUUUAAUUCUGGGGAUAAAUGUAAUGGUAUAAUUCUCUGACAUGCUUAUUUGGAAACAUAUGUUAGGUUCCUUUGGGUUCUUUUUUUAUUUGGAAAUUUCAUCAGUUUGUAAAUAACUACAGCUGUUGUCAUGUGUUGGUGCAAACCUUCCAUUAUCUGUGUUUUCUGCUCCCAUCAUAUACCACCAUUAGUGAAGUUAGCCAUGUGAAUUUAAUUUCCAGCUGUAGAUGUAAGGAAGUGAGCAUGAUUGUUUGGAUCUAUUGUUAAGGAAAGGCUAAAUGCUUACUAGGUUUUCUUACACACCUUUAAAAGUAUUGUGAAUUUCUUACGUUAUUUGUCUUUGAGGAUAUAUAGAUAAAUCUUAGUACUACAUUUGAAAACUAUGGUUGUGUAUAUUCAGUGCUUCAGCUGUAGGACUGAAAAUUCUUCUUGAUAUAGAAGAAUUUUGAAAUUUACAGUGUUUAUAUUUUGUAGAAUGAAUUCUGUCAAUUAGGAAUUCUUUUCGUGGAAUAAAAUUAAGUCGUGUUCAUGAAAUAUGGAAUGAAGUACCAAGGCUAUCUCUCUCUUCCCACUCCCCUUUUACCUGUUCCUGUCAAAUACUUUAUUUAAUAUAUCUAUAAUUUUCAAGUGAUAAAGUUUCUUUCAAAGUUUGGUUUUAAAUGUCAUAUACCAUAAUGCUAAAUGUCUUUAUUCUGUACUUAUUGGCACUUGCAUUUUAAUCAUCCAUCCAUCCAUCCAUCCAGCCAUCCUUGUCUGUGUUGUUUUUGGAAGUUCCUGUGCUAUAAAGAUUUACAGUUUAGUGGGGUCCUUGUAAUUAUAAUGCCGGGCUUUUGAAUUUUUGAAACUUUUAACUUUUAAACUUUUUUUUAACUGUUAAACUUUUUUAACUGUUUUAACUUUUAAACUUAUUUUUCUCAGUUCUGAUUGAAAGGAUGAAUUUCAAUAAGAGGCUUAACAUUUCAUAAAGAAAUGCAUCUAUGUUUUGGCCACUCUUUGAAUUAUGUUGACGCUUUUAAUUAACUUUUACAGGUAGCACCACACCAGGAUGACAAGUAAUGCCAGGUGGUGUGAAGUUUGUCCUGAGACCUGUGAGGCACUUUCAAGAGCCUGACAGUUCAGAGGAAUGUGGUUUGGAGCCACUCAUUUGAGUCCAACCCUCCCAAUCCCACAUCCCCCAACCCUUUUUGUCAGGUGAGUAGACGCAGACUACCUUUAGUCUGUAGAUUUUUGUAGAAAACAGUCAUGAAAUGUAUCUGAAAAGUUUUAACAAAGCCCAUUCCUCUGGGUCCAGGUACUUAGCAGUGGGCCUGGCAAGAACAGCAGUGCUUUUGUAAAACUUUGCAAUUUCUUUCUUUCAUCCUUUUGCAAGAUGUUCAUAUAUUUUGAAGAAAUCUCCUGACUUUCCAUUCACUCCCAAGUCUUUUGUGAGAAGGAAUGUGAAUUUUUCUUAAGCACUAAAAUUGCCUUACUGAGGAGUGAAUCUGUGGCAAGAUACUGGCGAUGAAGAACCCAGGAGGCUGUGUGAUGGUGCGGGGUUGGUGGCUUUUUGGGGAAAUUAGGGAUUCCUUGUGCCUCAUGGCCUUGGGCUGUGUAGAGUGAGUCAGCCAAGCGCAGAGAAGUGAAGUCACUUGCUCAGAGGCAUACAGUUUGUUAGCGGCAGAGCCAGAAUUGCAGCCGGAUCUCUAGUAACACUGCGCUUUUCCCUUUUCCAUUGUGCUCCUUGACCUCUGACUGUUGUCUGGAUGGCCAUAAUACUUGAGAAAACACAGUGUUGUAUUCCUCAAGUAGAGGGCAUUUUAUCCUUCAAGUCAGGACUUAGGUCCUGGAAAUUGGUGUUUUUCUUUAUCUUUUAAAAAAUCUUAAGCUAUGUAAAAUGAUUCUGCUUUGAACGAAGGGAACUGGUAUCUGCCAAAAUCACUAUUGAGCUUCUCUAGUCAUUUAUUUUCUUGAAAUUGAAAUGAAACUUUCUGAACACAGCCUUACUGAAUAUGGAUUUCAGAGCCAUAAUAAUGCUUCUUGCCUCUGCAGAUUUUGAAUUGAUCUGAGUUUGGCAGUGAAUUAUGUAUGUGUUAUUUCAGGAAUUUUGCACAUGCCCUGCUUUAAACCACUGAUUAUUUUUGUAAAAUGCUGUUGUGUGGAUUUGGCUCAUUCCAUUGACGCUGAACUCAUCAGAUGGCUAUAUUGUCUUCUAGGAAUGUGACUUGAAUUCAUUAAAUGACACAGGCAACAACAUCUGUUUUAUAAAGCUAGUUUAGUUCCCUAAAACUUAAAAUUUUCAAAUUUACAGCUUACAAAUAGAAUAAACCUUACUUCUUUUAUGCCGUAAAAAGAUUUCCACAGAGUUUUGAUGAUGACUUAUUUUAGCCUUAUUCUUAACGUAAUUCUUACAACUUAUUUUCUUAUUCUAUUGUUCAUUUUCAAGGAAAAGUAAUAUUAGGAAUGUUGGAAACUUACAGUCUUAAAUGAGUGACUCUCAACUUUUUUAGGUCACCUUAUCCGUUUGAGAUUUGCAGAAAGCUUUGGAUGGUCUAGAAUAAGCACCUGUACAUGUGCUUCUGAAACUGUGUACAGCUGUGGGGAGUUGGAGCUCUCUAGGGCAGAUCCCCUCAAGUUCAUUACCUCCUGGUUGAUGUUGGUUGGUGUCUUGUGCUUCAUAUGUGUUACUAAGUAUGUUAAUAACGCUGGUGACUCUGCACCAAAGUUACCUUCUUUAUGUACAGAUUUUAGAUUUAUAGAAUAUUGGAAUUGCUGUUAAAAAAUAAAGUAUUUUAUGAUGUUGGUCCAUUAAUGUAUCAUUUAUAUUUCUCUGUUGUAUUGUCUAUUUUUAUUCUUUUCCUCUUCCUUGUGGUUUUUCCAGGGAAGGAAACCUAUCCAUCUCAAGGUUUCUUGAUUUAUUAUCCCAGCACUGAUUUGGAUACGUUUGAUGAGCAAGGUUUAUAUGAUAGAUAUAUGGUAUUAAAAUAAAAAUAUGCUUGUCAGAUUUCAUCUUGGGAGGUUUGUUCCUUUAUGCCUCCUGUGUAUAAUAUUUCCAAGUGGUGUUUUCAAUUUGGGAUAUAAUAUGUUAGAGAAAAUUGGGACUUAGGUAGAGGUAGAUACUCUCCUAUGAUAAACCAUAGGGCUUGUGUAUCAAACCAGUGGAUGUGCGUUAUUAUGUGUAGCCGAUCCAGUACUCUUUCUUUUUUCUUUUCUUGUAAUGUUUUGUUUACUUUUGAGAGAGAGGGAGGGUGUGAGCGGGGCAGAGGCAGAGAGAAGGAGAGAGAAUCCCAAGCAGGCUCUGCACUGUCAGCACGGAGCUUGACGGGGGGCUCGAAUUCACGAACCGUGGGAUCACAAUCUGAGUUGAAGUUGGACACUCAACCAACUGAGCCACCCAGGUGCACCACUCUUUUUUUAAAACAACAUUUUAAAAAGUUUUAAGAAUUUAUUUUGAGAGAGCAGUAGAGAGAGAGAAAGUGCACAAGCGAGAGAGGGGAAGGGAGAGAGGGAGAGAGAAUCCCAGUCUCCCGUCGAUCACGACUUGGGCCGAAACCAAGAGUUGGACGCUUAACUGACUGAGCCGCCCAGGUGCCCCUGACCUGGUACUCUUUGUAGGGGCCGUGUUCUGUGGCAGUGUGGAGUCUCACCAGCAGCUUCAAGGCAAGCACGUGUAUCUGCUAGCUAAUUCUGAGGAUGGCUGUUCUUUUGUAACAUCUCUUCAAACUGGAUUUUUACUUUAAACUCAGAGGAUGGGUCCAUUUACUUGCCAGCCCACCCCUUGAAAUGAUAAUGGCAAUAGCUACCGUAUCUGCUGUGUGACAAGAACUUUUAUGAUGUUCUCUACCUCCAGACCUUUAUUUAAAAAACUUUAACUUCCUGACUACUACUCAUUUCAUCAUUUAUCUUUAAUCAUUAAACCAACUCAGAUUUAUUGAUGGGAAAUUGAGGUUCAGCGAGGGUGGUGCCUUUGAAGUGUGCUUAAUAAGUAUCACUUAUGUUAUCGUGGGCUUUAUGUACCAGAACUGUUUGCUUGCUGUAUUUCUUUCCCUCCCAGUGGGCUAUAGGUGUAUUGAGGACAGUCUCCAUACAUAGUCCUAAUACUAGUAAUAUAGUGCCUGCUAAGUUAUUAAGCAAUAGUUGAACAAUUGCUGGUUGAAUGAAUUCCCAUGAGUUUUACAAUUUAGACCCGAUAAGCAAAAUUAUUUUUCUUCACCUGUUUCUCUCACCAAACUACAAAUGGUGUUUUACUAAUAAGUGUGACAGUUUAUUGUGAAUGUAAUUGAUGUCUUCGUUUAGCAUCAUUUAUACAGUAUGUGAUGAGAAAGGUGGCUAAAAUGUAUGAAAUUGUUAACAUUGUCAAAAGUACAAAAGUGCCUUGGAAAUGUUGAAUGGCUGCCAUUGCUUUUUUUUCUGGUCUCAGAAGGAAAUGAGACACUUAAAAAGGCAGAGGAUUGUGUCACUUUAUCAAACAAUCUUACAUUAGUACGUGAAUUUAAUCACAUAUGAUUCUUUAAAUAGGGUGUUUAAAAUGUUUUCUUCUCUUCUAUUUGAACUAUAACAAAGUAAUUUGGCUUACUGCUGAUUUAAAUGAUAUUACUUAGAAGACACAAUCUGGGAUAGAAAAUGCUCGUAUAGUCUUGAACCUUCUAAGGAAGGAAUAUAAUUUUCUAAUUAAUGCCCUUUACUGUGUAAAGAUAGUCGUUUUAGGUGAUUAGCUUCCUAAAUGUUGCAAGUAUGAUAUGAGGGCAAAUAUAUUUCCUUAUUUUGGGGGAUGUGGGCAAGGGUAGGAUUUGAUACUGGACGAAAAUAUUAUUUUUCCUAUUACAUGUUACAUGUUUGAAUUAAAAAAAAAAGCGUUUAGUGAAGUUCCAGUCUUAAAAUUUGAUGACUGUUUAACCAAAUGGGAGCUAUUUUCUGAAAGUGCUUUAGGACAAUCAAGUGCUAGUGCUUUUACACGCUUAUUCAAAGUACAAAUUUAGGCGUUUGAUGAAAGUAUAUUCUGAGAGAGAAUGCUUCAAAGUCAGAUUAUCAGCUUCCGUAAGCCUCAAGGGUGACACAGUUUAAAGUUUCGUUCCUCUAGAUAAGGGCUUAGCGUGUUCUGCAGAUGCGGGUGUUUAUUGUUCGAGGAAAAGCUGUUUGACAUGAACAUAAAGUGUGUGAAACCUGUGCCCCUUUUAUGUAAAGUCUUUUCUCCACUUUCUUAGAUAGAGAUGGCUAAGAUUAUGUUUUUGAAAUCUACUAAAAAUCAAAAUUUGCUUCGAGGAUAACACCUGUUUUUGUGGCGGGCUAGUGUUAUAUAAAAUGGGUCUGCCCUCUCGUGUAAAAGCCCAUAGAGAGCAUAUGGAAGAGACGAGGGCAUAGAUGGGACUGCACAGGGAAGGGAGUGGUUAGAUGGCCAGUUUGGGAGGCUUAGAGCUUAGAGGAAGAGCAGCAGAUCAGUAGAUGAUGGCUUCUUCUCUGAAUGGAUCAGACCUCUUUGCAGGGUCCAAGUCAGUGUAUCAAACUGUAGAUACAUAAUUUUUGCUAGCUCCUAGGGGCAGAGAGGGUGGGAAUAAGGACCUAAAGAGAGGUAGUAGGAGACCUUAACUUUGUGUAAUUGUACUCUUAAAGUCUUACGUUUCUUAGAAUCUGUGUCUUUAUCUAAAGCUAUACCUGUAAUUCAUUUUACUAAUUUUCUUAAAGCGUGUUCAUGCAUUCAGUUUUUAUUAUUCAUCAGACAGUUUUUGCAUGCUUAUUAUGUGGAGAGCUGUGAUUGUAAGAGGCAUUUCUUGAGGUCCUGCCUUUAAGGAGCUCUUAGUCUAGAGGAGGUGUUGGAGGCAGGAUGACUGACACAAGAAAGAGGUUAACUAUCAAAUUAAGUGAUGACAAUAACUAACAUUCAGGAUGUUUUCUGGUUGAAAGACUGGGCCCUCAGCUCCAUGAGUGAGGUUGUCAGGCAAGUCUCAGUGUGCAGAGGCAGGCCUGUACUUCAAUGUG